rnacentral:rRNA from 1 species
UUGAACGCUGGCGGCAGGCCUAACACCUGCAAGUCGAGCGGAUGAAGGGAGCUUGCUCCUGGAUUCAGCGGCGGACGGGUGAGUAAUGCCUAGGAAUCUGCCUGGUAGUGGGGGAUAACGUCCGGAAACGGGCGCUAAUACCGCAUACGUCCUGAGGGAGAAAGUGGGGGAUCUUCGGACCUCACGCUAUCAGAUGAGCCUAGGUCGGAUUAGCUAGUUGGCGGGGUAAAGGCCUACCAAGGCGACGAUCCGUAACUGGUCUGAGAGGAUGAUCAGUCACACUGGGAAUGAGACACGGUCCAGACUCCUACGGGAGGCAGCAGUGUGGAAUAUUGGACAAUGGGCGCAAGCCUGAUCCAGCCACGCCGCGUGUGUGAAGAAGGUCUUCGGAUUGUAAAGCACUUUAAGUUGGGAGGAAGGGCAGUAAGUUAAUACCUUGCUGUUUUGACGUUACCAACAGAAUAAGCACCGGCUAACUUCGUG